GGAGGGGAAUCAGGUUAGAAGGGAGGAGACGAGGGGGAGGAGGGGAGUCGGGUUGAAGAGAGGAGAGGAGGGAGGGGAGGAGGGGAGUUGGGGUAGAAGGGAGGACAGGAUGGAGGGGAGGAGGGAGCCUGCUUACAGUGCACCUGCAGGAGCCUCUACCCCAGAUCCUGCUCCUGAGGGCAGACUGCUACUGGAGUCUUCAACCCGAAGCUGAGGCACAGACAAGGGUGGCUGUUUGCUGGGGAUGUACAGGACGAAGCCAAGGGUGGAGAGGGAAGAUGAUGGCUGCAGGCUAAGGGCUGUAGACUGGUGCUGCCCCCUAUCCCCAAGAUGACUUUCUGGCCCAGAAUUCAGAAGACCCUGAAGAUUGGAACUAGAACCUGGCUUUCCAGGUCUUUCUGAAGGUCUGCUUGCCAAGGACCACUAAGCGUGAAGCAGGUAGAGUGAGACUUAGGACCCCGGGAGAAAAACCGCCCCUGGAGGGCGCGCCACGGGUGUGCGGUGUAGACGCGGGCGGGCCGGCGGCGGAGGAGGAGGUCCCGGCGCCGACCCCUGGAGCGGAGGCAGCAGCCGGGCGCAGCGAGACAAGAGCUGUGAUCACAAAAUGUCAGUCUUCUAUUGUGAGAGAUGGUUCUGCCUGGUGGCUCUUUGGUCCUCUGUUCCCUGAGCACUGUUGGGUGCCCCAGCUCCUCCCACCCUCUCUGCUUCAAUCAAGACACUUACGUUGUAGAAAGCAUAGCUGACUGCAACAGCUGCAAUUUUUAUCAUCUCCCUGCAAGCCAAAUAUUAAAGUAUUUUAGUGGAACUUUGAAGUUCAGCGGGGUGGUACCUUCAUUGAUUGCCUGUCUUAUAUUUGAAUGCCAGUCAGUUUCUUGCGACAUGACUCUUUCAUUGUAACGUAAAAAACAAAAGCAAAAAACAAACUGCCUCACUAAUACAUUUGAGUUUUAAAACCCACUGUGGGUAAGAGGUUGAUGAAAAGGGAGCUUGCAAAUGCUGCUGAUGGGAGUGUGAACAGCGAUGGCCUUUCUGGAAGGCAACUUGACACUAUGAAUCAAAAGUUUAAAAACAUGCACACUUGUGCUUGAGUCAGUGUUUCCUAUUAGACAACUGAAUUCCAAGAAAUAAUCAUAUUUAGAUAUGAGGCCAUAUUUAGAUAUGAGGCUGUUCAGCAGAGCAUGUUUGUAAUUAAAAAAUGUGGGACACAAACAAAUUUCCAAGAAGAGGAGAUUCAAUAAAUAAGUGGUGAUACAUCUACAUAAGGGAAUACUCUUCACUUAUUAGAAAUUGUGCUAUAGAACAUUUAAUUACAUGAGAAGGUGUUCAUGAUUCUCUAUUACAUGCAAGAAUCGGGUUUCAAAACAGUAUAUGUAAGACAACUCCAUAAAACCUGUGUGAAUAGUUACGUGUGUGUGUGUAUACAUGUUAAACAAAAUAGAAUAGAAACCCACAUAUUAAUAGUGUUUAUUUCUGCACAGUGGAACAAUAUAUGAUGUUUAUUUUCUUUUUUUGUACCUCU
rnacentral:lncRNA from 10 species